UUGCUAAGAAGAAAUAGGCCAAAGGCCCAAACCUAAAUUUCUUUUUUUUUCUUCUGGGUAAGCUUUGUCAAAAAUCUGGAAGAGGGAGAUCUCUUAUCCAUCCUUUCUCGACAACCAGCGGAAGAGCUUUCUCUCCUCCUUCCCAAAUCGGCACGGCGCGAGCGGCAACGACGGGGAACCGAAUGGGAAGUGGCGAGACAGUGGUGCGACGGCGGAGGCGAAGAUGGAAUGCUUACGGAGGCUGGGUUUCGCUAUUGCGGUGGUGGUGGCCGGGAGAAAUCUGAGGAAAGUGUUGCGGCGGCACAAAGGAAGGGAGGUUGACAGUGGUCUGGGAAAUCCCUUCCUCCGUGGCAGCGUUCACCGGCGGGAGAAGGGCUCGGUAUCACAACGAUGGUGUAAAGGAAGCUGGCGGCAAGCGUCGCAACGGGGAAAAGCGGCGCCGACGAGGAGGUGCGGCUCGGUGGCUGUUCUGUGCACGAUGGAAGCUGUGGUGACUGCGUAACGGCGGCAACCCCGCGAGGUGAACGGUUUAUUGGAGACUUCUGAGUUUGUUGAAUGCCGGUGAUGACUGGAGAAAAUCCGUGAUGGCUGUGAUGAAUCGGUGGAGUAAGUACGUGAUCAUGAAGAAGAAGAUGAGGAAAUGAUGGAUCCUUGAUGGUGAACGGUAUACUGGGAAUUCACGGUGGCUGGAAGAUUGUGAUGGCAGUGGGAGAGGGCGGUGAGAGCAAUGGGGUUCGCGGAUAGGGGAGAAACGGGUUGCGGUGGUGAUCGGUGUGGUGGCUGUUACGGUUGAGAGUAAUCACAGAGAGUUUAAUGGUAACCGGCGAUAAUGGGAAAGACACACAAGAAUUUCCUUUUGUAUUUGCUCUUCUGACUUAACAAUGUAAAUGAAAGAGUUGCACCCUUUCGACUGGGUAUUGCUCUGCUAAUGUUAUCUGGGUGUAGGUCAAGGAGAAUGUUAAAGCUUUGACGUUGAGGAACGAAUGACUUACUUGAAAACCAAGUUCUCGGGAAGAAAGCACAAGACGAGAGUAUGUUUGGAGUAUUGAGAGUAGGGAACCGAAGACUGCUUUAGGAAUUGUGAAGGUAACCUGGUGAUUGAGAACGGAUUCUGGCUAGAUUGAAUGGAAUGGAGUUGUGAAAUGAGUGAUGGAAGAAAUAUCUUUUUCGCUCAUAAUAAUAUUAACAUCUAAGCAGACGUCAUCCCAAAGAUAUAGUAACAUGCAUUCAGCCAAUAUCAUAUACAGAAGAUCACAUACAAGUGAUUCUUUUUCUUCAAACUCCCGGCUCUUGCUGCCUCACUGUGCCAUUGCUUCCUCUCCUCUCCAUUAAUCUCUUCUUCCUUCUCAGAUCUUCUUUAUCUUUGCUCUUGCUUCCUCGGUUUUUCAGUAGCUCCCCCU